rnacentral:rRNA from 1 species
UACGAAGGGGGCUAGCGUUGCUCGGAAUCACUGGGCGUAAAGGGUGCGUAGGUGGCGGGGUAAGUCUGGUGUGAAAGCUCCGAGCUCAACUCGGAAAAGCAUUGGAAACUAUUCCGCUAGAGGGUCGGAGGGGAGACUGGAAUUCUCGGUGUAGCAGUGAAAUGCGUAGAUAUCGAGAGGAACACCAGUGGCGAAGGCGAGUCUCUGGACGACUCCUGACACUGAGGCACGAAAGCUAGGGGAGCAAACAGG